UGGGGAAUAUUGCACAAUGGGCGCAAGCCUGAUGCAGCCAUGCCGCGUGUGUGAAGAAGGCCUUCGGGUUGUAAAGCACUUUCAGCGAGGAGGAAGGUGGUGAGCUUAAUACGCUCAUCAAUUGACGUUACUCGCAGAAGAAGCACCGGCUAACUCCGUGCCAGCAGCCGCGGUAAUACGGAGGGUGCAAGCGUUAAUCGGAAUUACUGGGCGUAAAGCGCACGCAGGCGGUUUGUUAAGUCAGAUGUGAAAUCCCCGGGCUCAACCUGGGAACUGCAUUUGAAACUGGCAAGCUAGAGUCUCGUAGAGGGGGGUAGAAUUCCAGGUGUAGCGGUGAAAUGCGUAGAGAUCUGGAGGAAUACCGGUGGCGAAGGCGGCCCCCUGGACGAAGACUGACGCUCAGGUGCGAAAAGCGUGGGGAGCAAAACAGGAUUAGAUACCCUGGUAGUCCACGCUGUAAAACGAUGUCGAUUUUGGAGGUUGUGCCCUUGAGGCGUGGCUUCCGGAGCUAACGCGUUAAAUCGACCGCCUGGGGAGUACGGCCGCAAGGUUAAAAACUCAAAUG
rnacentral:rRNA from 1 species